rnacentral:snRNA from 1 species
AUACCUUUCUCUGCCUUUUGGCUAAGAUAAGUGUAGUAUCUGUUCUUAUCAGUUUAAUUAGCACUGUGGCCUGCGUAGCCUGCGCGCCUAAUUUCGUUCAGACCAAACUUAGAUUAAACUUUUAUAUUUGAUCAAACUUAAGUAAAGCUUUUAUAUUUGAUGCUUCACACAAUUGAUGCUUCACACAAAGUAAAACAUUGACUUUUUUAUAUUAUGUAAAUACU